GACGAACGCUGGCGGCGUGCCUAAUACAUGCAAGUAGAACGCUGAAGGAGGAGCUUGCUCUUCUGGAUGAGUUGCGAACGGGUGAGUAACGCGUAGGUAACCUGCCUGGUAGCGGGGGAUAACUAUUGGAAACGAUAGCUAAUACCGCAUAAUAGCAGUUGUUGCAUGACAGCUGUUUGAAAGGUGCAAUUGCACCACUACCAGAUGGACCUGCGUUGUAUUAGCUAGUUGGUGGGGUAACGGCUCACCAAGGCGACGAUACAUAGCCGACCUGAGAGGGUGAUCGGCCACACUGGGACUGAGACACGGCCCAGACUCCUACGGGAGGCAGCAGUAGGGAAUCUUCGGCAAUGGACGAAAGUCUGACCGAGCAACGCCGCGUGAGUGAAGAAGGUUUUCGGAUCGUAAAGCUCUGUUGUAAGAGAAGAACGAGUGUGAGAGUGGAAAGUUCACACUGUGACGGUAUCUACCAGAAA
rnacentral:rRNA from 1 species